rnacentral:rRNA from 1 species
AUUGAACGCUGGCGGCAGGCUUAACACAUGCAAGUCGAGCGGAGAUGAGGUGCUUGCACCUUAUCUUAGCGGCGGACGGGUGAGUAAUGCUUAGGAAUCUGCCUAUCAGUGGGGGACAACAUUCCGAAAGGAAUGCUAAUACCGCAUACGCCCUACGGGGGAAAGCAGGGGAUCUUCGGACCUUGCGCUAAUAGAUGAGCCUAAGUCGGAUUAGCUAGUUGGUGGGGUAAAGGCCUACCAAGGCGACGAUCUGUAGCGGGUCUGAGAGGAUGAUCCGCCACACGGGGACUGAGACACGGCCCAGACUCCUACGGGAGGCAGCAGUGGGGAAUAUUGGACAAUGGGCGGAAGCCUGAUCCAGCCAUGCCGCGUGUGUGAAGAAGGCCUUUUGGUUGUAAAGCACUUUAAGCGAGGAGGAGGCUACCUGGAUUAAUACUCUAGGAUAGUGGACGUUACUCGCAGAAUAAGCACCGGCUAACUCUGUGCCAGCAGCCGCCGUAACAC